AAACAAGGAUCUCCUCCCUCUAGUCUUGCCCUUGUCUCCCCCUCAAAUGACUAAAUCCCACUCGGUUAUUCUCAAUCAGAAGCCAUGCUCCCAGUGUAAGUUCUUCCUGGUGUUCAAACCUCUUUUGCUAAGAAUCCCACCAGUAUUAAAGUCUAAACUUACCCUCGCUCGCAGCUGUCCAAGUACGAACAUCCAGCCAUGUUUAUGACUCACGCUUCUCCAGUCAACCAAGGUGGCAUCUGAUUUAAGGGUCAUUCGAUGGUCAUGCACCGCAUGGGUCACGAACGAGCGGACGUACCCGAAGGAGAGCUUGCACAGGAAGCACAUCAGGAUGGGCUUCCUCUUCCCGUAGAGCACGAAGCCAUCGAAUUUGGACAGGUCCACAUUGUUGGGAACAUCUUUGGAUACGCAGGAGCUUUUGGCAGAACCGUCGCUGUUCAGGUCCUGCUCCUCCAUCACCCCACAGACCAAAUGAUGAAUUUCGGCCACUACAGAACACACAGCGUUAGAGUGGGCGCAGAAUGACAAGGACUAGAAGAGAAAGGAGGGGAGAAGCAUGAAUGAAAAUAUUUCUACGCUGGAUAGCAACAAAGCACUCAUCAGAUCCAUCUAUCCCAGGUUGGGGUUCUCACUCAAAAGUGCCAUCCUAUUUGGCUUGGUGUGGGGCAAGCGCCGUGGCCUGGUGGAUAGAGCAGGGGCCUAUAAAUCAAAAAAGGA